AGUGAACGCUGGCGGCAGGCCUAACACAUGCAAGUCGAGCGGAGCGGCGGACGGGUGAGUAAUGCCUAGGAAUCUGCCUGGUAGUGGGGGCAACCGUCCGGAAACGGGCGCUAUAACCGCAUCCACUCAGGGGAGCCUAGGUCGGAUGAGCUAGUGGGGGGGGUAAAGGCCGACAAAGGCGACGACCCGGAACUGGUCUGCGAGGAUGAUCAGUAACACUGGAACUGAGACACGGUCCAGACUCCUACGGGAGGCAGCAGUGGGGAAUAUUGGACAAUGGGCGAAAGCCUGAUCCAGCCAUGCCGCGUGUGUGAAGAAGGUCUUCGGAUUGUAAAGCACUUUAAGUUGGGAGGCGUUACCAACAGAAUAAGCACCGGCUAACUUCGUGCCAGCAGCCGCGGUAAUAC
rnacentral:rRNA from 1 species